rnacentral:rRNA from 1 species
UACGUAGGGGGCGAGCGUUAUCCGGAAUUAUUGGGCGUAAAGCGUACGUAGGUGGUUUUGUAAGCGUUAGGUGAAAGCCUGCGGCUUAACCGCAGCGAGCCUGAUGAACUGCAAGACUUGAGUGCAGGAGGGGUAAGUGGAACUCCAUGUGUAGCGGUGAAAUGCGUAGAUAUAUGGAAGAACACCGGUGGCGAAGGCGACUUACUGGACUGUAACUGACACUGAGGUACGAAAGCGUGGGGAGCAAACA